AACUUUGUCAAAGUUAAUUUAUAGGUUAAAACCCUUUAUGUC
rnacentral:tRNA from 1 species